GUGGCGGCAGACGGCGAAAUCGUCGAUGUCGAAGUCGGCGAGUCGCUUGUGGGCAGAUGUCGAGGGCGGCGGGAAAUCCAAGUCGGCGAGAUGCAGAGGAAGGCGAGAGCUAGAGCAGAUCGAUUGCGAAGUUCAGCGAUGGAGGACAUGCGGCAUUGGGAAAAGUGGUGAAAGAAGGAUAGUCCCAAAGUUUAUACUCAGAUGUGCCUUAUAAAGAUACACAUGUCCAUUCUAAGUGUGACUGCGAUAAGCUAGUCUAUGUGUUUAAAUAGAGGCAUACGGAUACUACUACACGGGCCUACUAUACAUGGGCAAUUCUCAUGGGUCACCGACUCCAUACGAGGGAUUCAAGCGGUGGGUUCCACCUCCUGCGAACCCUCCACCAAUGACGGAGGAGAACAAAGUCAUCUUAAAGUGACUUGGCAACCCACCCUUGUAUGAAUGCAAAGAUCCAACUAUGGUUUCAUCUUCCUUUAUUGACAUCAAGUACCCCC